AACUGCGUGCGCAUACGUUGCCACGUCAUCAUUGUGUACAAACAGUAAAAGGGUCACUCACUCACUCACUCUUUCGCAAGCUUCUCUGUUUUCAAGUAUUGUAAUUUUAUUCAUUUUACUCUCUCUCUCACUGUCCAAAACACUUAGCCUAUGCCUCUUUGUCUGACCAAUGUAGUAUUGUUGAAAUGGCUGCUGAGCAAGACAGAGGGAGAGCAAAGGGUGUUAUUUUCAUAGCAGACAUGCUUCUUGCUCAAAUCAAGGCAGAGGAACCCAAGGGCAAAGCAACAGCCAUUAAAGGGAGUACAUUUAAUGUCAGAUAGGUGGAGAAAAUGCUGAAGGAGGUCCACUACUAAAAAGAAGCAGAAGUGAAGAGAUACAAAGCUUCAGCUACAGUCUGUUUAUUGCCUACAGUGAGACCUCCACAUUUCUGCACUUGUGAUCAUGCAAACAUCCAGUGUAGAGCACUUCACCUGCCCGGCAUGUACACCCAACAAUGCUCGCUCUUUGUGCAGAUGGCAACAGAAAAACCUACAGAUUCCGUCAGUCAAAAGAAAGGAGCUUCAAGCAGCCACAAACGGAGAGUUCUUUUGAACAGAUAUUGCUUGCAAGUAUUGGCCAUACCUUGAGAAGGCGUCAGUCUCCAUGUUGGAACUCAGACCUUUACUGCAGAUGAGACCUUUCCUUUCUGUCAUGCAUGCCAAGGCUCAUUCAACCAAGUGUCAGGUGUCACACAUUUGUUAGAUAAUCUGGCAAAAAUCAGGAAGGUGCUGGUACAACUGCAGUUGAGGAGGUCGAAAUGGUCAACAGCUACCUGUCUCGUUGUGGCCUCACAACCAAGUAUCUAAUUGAUGCCUAUUUAUAAUAUUUUAGGAAACCUGUCUUUAUUUUUUCACUUUUUUAUUCUUUCUGUCUAGUACUUUGGGAUUGCAUAAGAGUAAGCUGUAACUGUUCAAAGUACAUAAAAAAUUGGCAUGAAUGACAUGCUAACUGUCCAUGCUAUUGGGUGGAACCAACGGAAGCAAGAAGGCCUUCAGCAUUAUCCAGCAGAUACAUCAAGAAAGGCUGAGUCUCAGAGACGGGAAGAUUUGAGCAGUGAACUGGGGUGUCCUGAGAACAUUGUGAAUCAGUGGGUACAAGAUGUCAGACAAAAGGCUACUGAUGGAUUUGGUAGGUACCAGAUGUGAUGACCUACACAACCUUCAGAAAUGAAUUGAACAAAUGUUUCUUAGUCUUCAUCGAAAAGCCAGCCUUUAUAAUCACACUGAAUCCAGCAACACCCUCACCAAGAAGAUUUCAAAAGUGCGCCUUCAAGAAGCAAAGAUCAUUGUGAUGAGGGAGAUGAGACACCACUGCACCGCACCUAUCUCAGAAGCCUGGCUAGGAACAUCAGGAAAAUGAUAUCAGAAAUGUCUUCAGGCAAAAACAGUGGUAAGAGGUUAACUUUUAUU